rnacentral:rRNA from 1 species
UACGUAGGGGGCUAGCGUUGUCCGGAUUUAUUGGGCGUAAAGAGCGUGUAGGCGGCCAGAUAGGUCUGCUGUGAAAACUCGAGGCUCAACCUCGAGAUGUCGGCGGAAACCAUUUGGCUAGAGUCCGGAAGAGGAAAGUGGAAUUCCUGGUGUAGCGGUGAAAUGCGCAGAUAUCAGGAAGAACACCAAUGGCGAAGGCAGAUCUCUGGGCCGUAACUGACGCUGAGGAGCGAAAGCAUGGGGAGCGAACAGG